rnacentral:tRNA from 1 species
GUUAUCAUAGCUUACACUCAAGCAUAGCACUGAAAAUGCUAAGACGGCCCCCCCUGAUAACA